rnacentral:rRNA from 1 species
UACGUAGGGGGCAAGCGUUGUCCGGAAUUAUUGGGCGUAAAGAGCGUGUAGGCGGUCCGGUAAGUCAGCUGUGAAAGUCAAGGGCUCAACCCUUGAAUGCCGGUUGAUACUGUCGGGCUAGAGUCCGGAAGAGGCGAGUGGAAUUCCCGGUGUAGCGGUGAAAUGCGCAGAUAUCGGGAGGAACACCAAUGGCGAAGGCGGUUCUCUAGUACGGUACUGACGCUGAGACGCGAAAGCGUGGGGAGCAAACAGG